rnacentral:rRNA from 1 species
CAGCAGCCGCGGUAAUACCGGCGGCCCGAGUGGCGGUCACUAUUAUUGGGCUUAAAGCGUCCGUAGCCGGGUUGGGAAGUCCUCCGGGAAAUCUGGCCGCUUAACGGUCAGAAUGCCGGAGGAUACUCCCAGCCUAGGGAGCGGGGGAGGCCGAGGGGAUUCCCGGAGUAGGGGUGAAAUCCUAUAAUCCCGGGAGGACCACCGGUGGCGAAGGCGCUCGGCUGGAACGCGUCCGACGGUGAGGGACGAAGGCCAGGGGAGCAAACCGGAUUAGAUACCCGGGUAGUCCUGGCUGUAAACGAUGCGGACUUUGUGUCGGACAAGCUAUGAGCUUGUCCGGUGCCGGAGGGAAACCGUUAAGUCCGCCGCCUGGGGAGUACGGCCGCAAGGCUGAAACUUAAAGGAAUUGGCGGG